UUUUUUUUUUCCCACAGUACAGCCUGAAAAUAAUAAUACCAACAGUACCACCACAAAUGUGAUUACUGAAGAGUUUAUGAUCUUUUCUUACAAUUAUUUUUGUCCUUAGAAUAUAUACUAUUUAGGAUGUACAGUCAAAUUAUUGUGUUUUGAAGUUCUUGGACUAUUUCUGUAUAUAUGGUUUUGCUGACAAACUCAUAUAUAAUUAAUUCAAUUGUUUUAUUUUUAUUUUUAAUUGAGGUAUAAUUUCCACAGUGACAUUAUCAGAUCUUAGUGUUUCUGCUUUAUAAACGGUUCUCCAGGUUUCCUUUAAAAGGUUUGACGACCUUUGACAAAUGUAUAAACGUACGUAACUCUUAGCCCCAGCAGGAUAGAAAAUGCCUACAGCCCAGAAAGCUCCUCAUGAAAUAAUAAAUAUGUAUUUUUGCCUCUGCCUCCAGUUUCUGAUUCAGAGCUUCUAUGUCCCCUCAAAUUUUCUGGACUAUAGGAUGGAGGCUGGUUACCAGAAAGUCCAAACCAUGAUUAGAAGCUUGGAAAGGGGAGAGGGGCUGGAAAUUGAGUUAAUAUGAUGAAGCCCCCAUAAAAAUUCCAGAAAGAUGGGCUUCAGAAAGCUUCCUAGUUGGUGAACACAUCAUGUGCCAGGAGGGUGGUACACCCCAACUCCACAGGGACAGAAGUUCCUAUGCUUCCAGAACUUAUCCUUUGUAUCUCUUCAUUUGGCUAUUCAUCUUCCAUUAUAUUCUUUAUAAUAAACUGCCAAAGAUAUGUGGGUGUUUCCCUGAAGUUUGGUGAGCCAUUCUAGCAAAUCAUUGAACCCAAGGGGGGGUCAUGGUAAUGCCACUUACAGUCAUUCUGUCAGAAGUACAGGAACUUCUACAAACAGUUCUUAAUGAAUAACCUGUGUGUGUGUAUAUAUAUAUAUGUCUUCAUAUUUUGCUAAUGUAUUUUUGAGUUAUAUUUUUAGAUUUGAAAUUGCUGGCUCAAAGGUAAAUAUGUAAGUUUUCCAGAUAUUGUUAAGUUCUCCUCUACAGGGAUUGUACAAUAUGCAUUUCCACCAGCAAAGCUAGAGAUCCUGUUUCUCCAGAGAUUCACCAAAAGAGAAUUUGUCAAACUUUUAUUUUUCCAAAUGAAAAGGUGAGAAAUUAUACCUCAGUAUGGUUUUGAUUUACAUUUCUUUUAUUAAGAGCAAAUUUAAGCAUUUUUUCAAAAGAUACUUGCACUUCUUGCUCUGUGGACCAGUGCUACAAUUCACUAGCCUAUUUUUCUAUAGGCUUAUUGGUUUUUCCUUCUCUAAUUUUAUAACUUCUUUUAUAGAUUAGAUACAUAAACUCUGAGAUGUAAGUUGUAAAUAUUAUUUUCAGUUUGCUAUUUAUCUUUUCACUUUGCUUAUAACAUUUGCCAUGCAAAAAUUUUUUUGAAUGUAAUCAAUCUAGCUGUAUUUUCUCUGUUGCUUAUGGAUUUUGAGUCACAGGAACAGUUUUCCCAUUCCCAGGCUAUAGAGGAUAUCAACAAUGUUUUAUUCCAGUGCUUAUAUGGUUUCCUUUACUACAUUACAUUUCUGAUCCAUUUGGGAUUUAUCCUGAUGUAAGACAGGAAUGGAUCCAAUUUUAUCUUUCUGUGCAUGGCUCUCCAAUGACGUGAAGAUAAUUUAAAAGUCCAUUUUUCCUCUGAUUUGAGCUGUCUUUAUGGCAUAUUAAAUUUGCAUAUGAAUAGGUAUUUCCCUAUUUUUCUCUUCUGUUUCAUUUUACUUAUAAAGGCUUCAUUGCAUGUUUUAGUGUCUGGUAGGGCUAACCCCAAUUCUUUGUUCUUCUUUUCAGGAUUUCCCUAUCAUUUGUUGUUCUUCCAAAUAAACUUUAUAAUCAACUCAUUUAACUGUAGGAAAAAUCUGAAGAUACUGUAUUGGGACUACCAAGGUUUUAUAUAUUAACCUAGGGAAAAUUAUCAUUUUCAUGAUGUUGAGUCUUCCCAGUCAAACACAGAGUAUCAGGGGACAUUUCUGAUUACCUCUCAGAUUAGGGAGUUGAUGAAAUGCUCUGAGUGAUCACGUGGCUGAGGAGUAAUGGGUUUCACAAGGCUUCCUGGUCUUCCAGCCCAUGCCACCUCUUCCAGGAAGCCUGCCUUCUUUUCCAGGAAAAUGAUCUCUCUAUCCUCUACAGAUGUCUUGUGGUUCACAUUAACAUUUCGACUAGAGUAUGUGUUAUAAAUCACAGUUAUACUGCUAAAAGCUAAGCUAAGGCAAGAGACUCUAAGCUGGAUCCAUCACAUCAAUUAUCUCAUAGCCUUUCCCGGGGUCACCAGCUACCCUCUGGCAAGCCAAAUAUAGCCCAUGUGUUUGACCUGCAUGGACAUCCUUAAAAUCUUAAAUUUGUUGCCAACAUUUAAAAAUUAUAAGACUUCACACAAAACACAGAUUUUCAAAUUUCAAAUUUGGAAGUUCAUGGCAACAACCAACUGGAGUUUAGCAUCUGCUGUCCCUUUACACCAGGUGUUCCCUGUACCUUUUAAUUUCCAUUACCUGGUUAGGCCCUGGAAGCAUUUGAGUUAGUAUUUCUUCUCCUUAAAACCACUGGAAAGAGGACAGAAGGAAAUCCCUGGCCCUGGCACAAAGUAGGUGUUCAGCAGAGACUUGUGGACUGAAUAAAUCCCUGUUUGCUAAUCAGGGCCUGAGAGUUUAGCUUAGCGAAGGUCACACGACCAGAGGGUGGUAGAGAAAGGGAUUUAAGAGGAGGAUCUGCUCUGCGCACAGAGUCCGGCAGUGUUUGACAGCCGUCCAAGGGCUGGCGCAUGCACUGUCUCACUUGUUAGCUGGUUAAUGGCCAGAGACUUGGUCUUCAGCCCUUAACCAUCUCUGUUGCUCUCAGAUGGAACAUUAGUAACUGCCCCAUUAACACAGACAUGGAGGAGGGGGGCCAUGGACCUCAGGAGAGAAAUGGGCCCUGGUGACUUUUUAGCUUCACAGAGUUGGGUUUGAGUCGCUUUCUUUUUCUUCCUCUUUCCACAUAGCUCCCCUAGGCCUCAUCAAAUCUGCUGCUGGAGAGCACUGGAGGGAGCAUUGCAGAAAGGCAGAACCAGGUUUGCCCUGGGCGAGCGGGAGUCUGUGCCCACUGCUCAGGGGUUUCCUGGCUUCUUUAGAGGGAAGAGCAGAGGGCUCCGAGAGCUCCAGGCUUCCCAAUCCUCCAGGAUACGGGAGCUUCAGCAACAAAUUGCCUUUAAAAAGAACAGCUAGGAGUUGCCAUCCUGGCUCAGCAGUAACGAAACCUGACAGCUACAGCUCUGAUUUGACCCCUAGCCUGGGAACUUCCAUAUGCCACCGGUGCAGUCCUAAAAAGACCAAAAAAAAAAAAGAAGAAAAAGAAAAAGAACAGCUCAUCUUUUUUCAUUCAACAAAUAGGUAUUGAGUGCUUCAGUACCAGCCGCCAGCACUAGCUCAUGCUAGUGGCAGAGCUGAAAAAUAAGCCUGUAAGAAAAAGCCUUCUAACAGGCCAGACCGGUGCUG
rnacentral:lncRNA from 1 species